rnacentral:lncRNA from 1 species
UUGAGCCUUGAGUGCGACCUGGAGAAGCAGUGCAUCAUCUGGGGUCAUCUCUUGCUUGUGCCAUGGUAAGAACAGAGCGCCACUCUUUGUCGUGCAUGUAUCGAAAUGAUAGAAAUGUCGAAUACAUGUUCACUCUCAGCUGGGAUACUUUUGAGAGAAGAUACUUGGUUGUACUUAGUUAUGUGAUUUAUUCAUGUUCGUGCUAUUUGUUAAGCGAUUAUCUUUAUGUCGUUGCUACCCCGUUGUGUAUCUCUCUUUCUUGUGUGCUGCAUCAUUGUAGAUAUGCUUGAUGGCGUGAAUGCUUUCAGUUUUGGUUGUUACAAACCUUUACUAUGUACCAUGCUUAGUGUUUACUGUACUGAGGCAUUGGCCAUAGGAAUUUGGGCGUGUAUGUAUAAUUUUAGUUCUGGAUGUGUCGAAUGCAAACAUUACUAUCAGUUGUUAAAUUGAUUCUAAAAUUUCUCAUUAACUUCAUUUCGUACUGUGAUUUUUGGAUUUGGUACCAAUUUAUUGUUGGCCUGCAUGUGCUCUGUAACUUGCUGUGGUUUUAAGUAGCAAGUACCUUAGUACCUUUUCUGUCAUGUGGUGUCCAUGGAUUGAAAUGUUGGCUGUUAUGUAUUGAUUGUAGUAUCGAAAAUGGCUCAAACCUGAAGUACUUAGAAUAGAUUGUAGUUUCUUUCUUGUUUGUUUUGAUACCCAUAUACAUGUCCUGUAUUAGCUCUUUCCUUUUGUGCAUGUUAAUUCAGUGUUUGUGAUGAUUUGAUGCCAAUGUUAAUUCAGAUUUGGAUGGGUUUAUGUGUUAUGCUAGUAUAUAUGCACACAGAUUGGCCUUCAUUAUUUUGUAUAUGCUGUUAGAUUUGCUUUUAUUUUGUACCUAACCAUUUUGUUCUAUAAUGUGCAGAUGCUGGCGUUUCAUGUUUCGUCGCAAGCAUCAAGACGAAGAAGUCGGAAGAAGCAUAGUUCAAGCUCAUUGGAGCUAGUUCAAGGAGUAAUGAAGCCAUUGAUGCUGAUCGUAUUGGAACAAAUUGAAGCACGAACUUGGCUCAUAUGACAUAUUGUACACCUGUAGAGCAUUGUAUGUGUGUUGAUGUAGCAGAUUGUUGCUUCUUGUUAUUUGAA